rnacentral:rRNA from 1 species
UACGAAGGGGGCUAGCGUUGCUCGGAAUGACUGGGCGUAAAGGGCGCGUAGGCGGCCUGGACAGUCGGAUGUGAAAUUCCUGGGCUCAACCAGGGGGCUGCAUCCGAGACGUUUGGGCUGGAGUGAGGAAGAGGUUCGUGGAAUUCCCAGUGUAGAGGUGAAAUUCAUAGAUAUUGUGAAGAACACCGGUGGCGAAGGCGGCGACCUGGUCCUUUACUGACGAUGAGGCGCGAAAGCGUGGGGAGCAAACAGG